AUUGAACGCUGGCGGCAGGCCUAACACAUGCAAGUCGAACGAGUGGCGGACGGGUGAGUAAUGUCUGGGAAACUGCCUGAUGGAGGGGGAUAACUACUGGAAACGUUAGCUAAUACCGCAUACCAUCGGAUGUGCCCAGAUGGGCUUAGCUAGUAGGUGGGGAAAAGGCUCACCUAGGCGACGUUCCCUAGCUGGUCUGAGAGGAUGACCUGCCACACGGGAACUGAGACACGGACCAGACUCCGACGGAAGGAACAGUUGGGAAAUAUUGGACAAUGGGCGCAGUCCUGAUGCAGCCAUGCCGGGUGUAGGAAGAAGGUCUUCGGGUGGUAAAGUACUUUCAGCGGGGAGGCGUUAACCGCAGAAGAAGCACCGGCUAACUCCGUGCCAGCAGCCGCGGUAAUUC
rnacentral:rRNA from 1 species